rnacentral:rRNA from 1 species
UCGGGUUGGCAUCAACCUGAUACCAAAGAUGGCCUCUACUUGUAAGCUAUCACAUAGAGAUGAGCCCGCGCCCGAUUAGUUAGUUGGCGGGAUAAAAGCCCACCAAGACUUCGAUCGGUAGCCGGCCUGAGAGGGUGUCCGGCCACACUGGGACUGAGAUACGGCCCAGACUCCUACGGGAGGCAGCAGUAGGGAAUAUUGCGCAAUGGCCGCAAGGCUGACGCAGCAACGCCGCGUGGGGGAUGAAGGUUUUCGGAUCGUAAACCCCUGUCGAGAGGGACGAAAGGUGAAUGGGUGAAUAAUCCAUUCGCUUGACGGUACCUUUAGAGGAAGUUCCGGCUAACUUCGUGCCAGCAGCCGCGGUAA